rnacentral:rRNA from 1 species
UACGGGGGGGGCAAGCGUUGUUCGGAAUUACUGGGCGUAAAGGGCUCGUAGGCGGCCAACUAAGUCAGACGUGAAAUCCUUCGGCUUAACCGGGGAACUGCGUCUGAUACUGGAUGGCUUGAGUUCGGGAGAGGGAUGCGGAAUUCCAGGUGUAGCGGUGAAAUGCGUAGAUAUCUGGAGGAACACCGGUGGCGAAGGCGGCAUCCUGGACCGACACUGACGCUGAGGAGCGAAAGCCAGGGGAGCAAACGGG